GAAACACUUUACCAUUUUACAGGUGUUUAUUCUGUUUUGGACAUAGAAACAUAACAAACACCUGUAAAAUAGCAAACUGUUUC
ensembl:miRNA